GUGUCAGCCGCCGCGGUAAUACGAAGGGUGCAAGCGUUACUCGGAAUUACUGGGCGUAAAGCGUGCGUAGGCGGUUUGUUCAGUCUGAUGUGAAAUCCCCGGGCUCAACCUGGGAAUGGCAUUGGAUACUGGCAGGCUAGAGUACGGUAGAGGGUGGUGGAAUUCCCGGUGUAGCAGUGAAAUGCGUAGAGAUCGGGAGGAACAUCUGUGGCGAAGGCGGCCACCUGGACCAGUACUGACGCUGAGGCACGAAAGCGUGGGGAGCAAACAGGAUUAGAUACCCUAGUAGUCC
rnacentral:rRNA from 1 species